rnacentral:lncRNA from 1 species
AUUUUUUUCUAUUUUUUCUCUUAUUCUCAGAUUUUCUUAUUUAUAGAUGAAUUUUUCAUCUUUUUUUGGUAGCAAACGGAGUCCUAAAACCCCUCAAAAUCAUGUUAAACUUGUGUCCCUUAAUUCUGACCAUUGGAUCUUGUUUGGACCACCCAGAUCGCAUCAAAAAUCAUAGUUUAUUUCCUUAUCUUGAUCGAGAUCAAUAUUAGCCAUUGGAUUGCAUGAUAGAUUUAAUUUCGAUCGUUGAUCAGCGUACAGGACCUCCUAUUCACAGUCAAGAUCGAUACAGACCGUUGGAUCGGGCGAUAGAUCUAUUUUGGACUGUCGGAUGGCAUAAAGAAUCCUUCAUCAUUUUAGUUUUCAGCCGGCAACCAACACAGACUGUCAGAUCUCACUCAAGAUCGAUUUGGGCCGUCGGAUGCGCACUGGAAGUGGGCCACCACUGAAGCAUAUGGGAAAGCGCAUCUUGGACCAUUCGAUCACAUGUUUGGCGUGAUCUCAACCAUCCAAUUGUACAAAAAUGAGCUGUCCGUUUGUGAACCACAUCGUGCACUGCGAUCUAUGCUUGUGGACCACGCCCUUGAUUCUGUGGACCGAGCCACGGUCCACCGUACACCGAAGGCUAUUAAAAAUAAAUUUUGGAGGUAUUUUGGCUUGAAUUUGCUCAAAUUUUAUGUCUAAAAAAUAAAAAAUAAAUAAAUAAAAUUAUUUAUUCAUUCUUCAAUUAUUUUGAUGCUUAAAUUAUUCAAUUAGCUUAAUAUUUAUUUUUUAUAAAUAUACUCUAAUUUUAUAUUUUUAAAAUUAUUUAUUUUUAUAAAAAAAUUUAAUUUAUUUAUGAAAUUAGAUUUUUUUAGAAAAUUUUGAUAUCAUUAAUUAUCAAAAAUAUCUAAAAUAAAUGUAAAGAUAUCUUAUCAGUUUAUCUUAAGAUAUUUGUAUCAUCAUCUUAUCUGGAGGGAACAAAAUAAAAAAUCUCUGUCAUUUAGAAGAGAAAAGUUUUAAGAUGGUCAGAAAUGUUCUCAUAAAUAUAAAUUUUUAUUUUACCAUCCCAUACCGGGGAAAGAAAAGAUUUGUCUUUGAUAAACUUUCUUUCACUUUCCUAUCGAGCAAACAAAGUUCUAAUCUUUCUGGACUAUCAAUUAUCUGAUAUAGAAGAUUCUCUUUACUUAUCUAAAAAAAAAGAAAGGAUUCUCUUUGAAACUUUCUUAUCCUCUUGAAGAGUGAGAAAAGAAACUGAAAUCCUUA